rnacentral:rRNA from 1 species
UACGUAGGGGGCGAGCGUUGUCCGGAGUUACUGGGCGUAAAGGGCGUGCAGGCGGUGCGGUAAGUUUAGCGUGACAGUCUCCGGCUUAACUGGAGAAGGCCGCUGAAAACUGCUGGACUUGAGGGCCAGAGAGGGACAUAGAAUUCCGGGUGGAGUGGUGAAAUGCGUAGAUAUCCGGAGGAAUACCAAAGGCGAAGGCAGUGUCCUGGCUGGCAACUGACGCUGAGGCGCGAAAGCAUGGGGAGCGAACAGG